UGUUCAGUCACCAAUAGCUCGUUAUAAAGAUAAACGCGCUGACACAAUCUUCACACUGUGCUGAUAUAAACGACUGUGUUGGUAUCAACAAUACUGUACUGAUAUAAAAGCUGUCUACAGUCUUCACACCGUGCUGUUAUAAACAGAAAGUUUAAGCCAACAUUUAUUUUUAAAAAUGUCUGAAGUCCGAUACGUCGCUUUAAUAUUGGUUAUAAUGAUAGUGAAUCAGACCGAUGGAUGGCUUUUGAGAAAGGGAUGGAACGCGAAAAACUGUUUCUGUAAGGCCGUGGACAACAGCAAUUAUGGUAGGAUUUUGCACGACUUUGGCUCCAUUCAGAGUUGUAGGGGUUGGCUUGGAUGUGGAUGUGGUAAUUCAGCUAUGAUAUCAUGCGGAACAGCUUGUGAGGCGAAAGUCAGAUCGUGGACCAAGAACAACUGCCCAAGUCAAUACAGGUCGACAAAGAUUCGAGCUUCUUACUCCGCUAGCGUUUGUCAUGAUGGACAUGGUGGACAAAUUUUAUCUUGUGGGAAAUAAAUUGCAUGAUCAUGAUGCGAGAUAAAAAUAUGUGCCUAUAAA